rnacentral:lncRNA from 1 species
AAGAACCCGAUCCUGUCGGGCCUUAACGGCCAUGGGAAGAGUUUGGGUAUUUUGCUCUGUGAGUAGAUAGAAGCUCCUGAAAGAUCCUAAGUGGGGGAGUGACAUGAUCUGAGUCAUAAUUUUACAGGAUCACAUGGCUGGUAUUAUGGAGGGUGGACUGUGGGAGCAGGCGUGGAGCAGGGCCUGGGCGGUGGCCUGGGAGGGAGAUGGUGGCUGUCUGGACAGAGAUGCAUGCAGUGGAACGGGAGACAAGUGCCUGGGUUUGAGUUAUGUUUUAGAGAUAGAACUGACAAGGUUCUGGCCGGGCAUGGUGGCUCAUGCCUGUCAUCCCAGCACUUUGGGAGGCCAAGGUGGGUGGAUCAGUUGAGGUCAGGAGUUCGAGGCCAGCCUGGCCAAUAUGGUGAAUCCCCGUCUCUACCAAAAAUACAAAAAUUAACCUGACAUGGUGGCGGGCCCCUGUAGUCCCAGCUACUCAGGAGGCUGAGGCAGGAGAAUUGUUUGAACCCGGGAGGCAGAGCUUGCAGUGAGCUGAGAUCGUACCAUUGCACUCCAGCCUGGGCGACAGAGCGAGACUCCAUCUCAAAAAAAAAAAAAAAGAAUUGACAAGGAUCCCCGUGGGAUUCCAGUUGAAUCCCUUCUCUGACAGCCAUUUGCUGUAUAAACCUUGGUGGAGGGUGGGGCUCUUCAUACUCCGUGAGGUGAAGGAUGAAGGGGCAGCAGAUCUGAGAGGUAGGUCAUCCCGAGUGCUGAGUUCCAUUUGGGCCAUGUCUGAGCUGCGCGUUAAACAUUCAAGGGGAGCUGUCCACAGGCACUUGGAUACAUGAGCCUGGGGUUAUGGGUAAGUUGGUCUUGGAGAUAUUUGGAGCCACCAGUGUGUUUAGUUGUAUGAGUAGAUGGGAGCCCUAGGAAGAGAGUAGACAAUAUAAACUGGGCCCAGCACUGGGUCCAGGGUAACCCUAACAUUCAAAAUGGGGGACAGGGAGCAGGCAAAAGAGGCUGAGAAGGAGCAUCCAGAGAGGUAGGGGGGAAACUGGGAGGAUGGUUGCUCAGGAAAGAGGGGAGCUGACUCAGCCACGCUUCUCCUGGUCCCCUUUGCCUUCUGGUCUAAGGUAUGGUUCAGGGUGGGUGUUCAGGAGGGAGAAACCCUUCGGCCUCCCCCUUCCCUAUCCCUCUUCCCUCUCUCCCUACCCUUUUCUUUCUCCCGGCUUCUUCCUCCCCUGCC